rnacentral:rRNA from 1 species
CACGUAGGGUGCGAGCGUUGUCCGGAAUUAUUGGGCGUAAAGAGCUCGUAGGCGGUGUGUCGCGUCGGCCGUGAAAACCUGCAGCUUAACUGUGGGCUUGCGGUCGAUACGGGCAUCACUGGAGUUCGGCAGGGGAGACUGGAAUUCCUGGUGUAGCGGUGAAAUGCGUAGAUAUCUGGAGGAAUACCGGUGGCGAAGGCGGCAUCCUGGACCAUUACUGACGCUGAGGCGCGAAAGCUAGGGGAGCAAACGGGG